rnacentral:rRNA from 1 species
UACAGAGGUCUCAAGCGUUGUUCGGAAUUACUGGGCGUAAAGGGCUCGUAGGCGGCCAACUAAGUCGGAUGUGAAAUCCCCAGGCUUAACCUGGGAACUGCAUCCGAUACUGGAUGGCUUGAAUCCGGGAGAGGGAUGCAGAAUUCCAGGUGUAGCGGUGAAAUGCGUAGAUAUCUGGAGGAAUACCGGUGGCGAAGGCGGCAUCCUGGACCGGCAUUGACGCUGAGGAGCGAAAGCUAGGGGAGCAAACGGG